CUACGGGUCGCAGCAGUGGGGAAUAUUGGACAAUGGACCAAAAGUCUGAUCCAGCAAUUCUGUGUGCACGAUGACGGUUUUCGGAUUGUAAAGUGCUUUCAACAGGGAAGAAGUUCUGACGGUACCUGUAGAAGAAGCGACGGCUAAAUACGUGCCAGCAGCCGCGGUAAUACGUAUGUCGCAAGCGUUAUCCGGAUUUAUUGGGCAUAAAGGGCAUCUAGGCGGCUUAGUAAGUCUGAUGUGAAAAUGCGGGGCUCAACUCCGUAUUGCGUUGGAAACUACUAAGCUAGAGUAUUGGAGAGGUAGGCGGAACUACAUGUGUAGAGGUGAAAUUUGUAGAUAUAUGUAGGAAUGCCGAUGACGAAGGUAGCUUACUGGACAAUUACUGACGCUGAAGUGCGAAAGCUAGGGGAGCAAACAGGAUUAGAUACCCCCGUAGUC
rnacentral:rRNA from 1 species